AAACUUUUAACAACGGAUCUCUUGGCUCUAGCAUCGAUGAAGAACGCAGCGAAACGCGAUAUGUAGUGUGAAUUGCAGAAUUCAGUGAAUCAUCGAAUCUUUGAACGCACAUGG
rnacentral:rRNA from 1 species